GGCCUAUUGGCUCAAUGGUAGAGCGUCGCUCUCCUAAAGCGAAGGUUGUGGGUUCGAGUCCCAUGUGGGUCG
rfam:Aspergillus niger supercontig An16